UCGCGGCUUAUCACCGGCAGUCCCCUUAGAGUGCCCAACUGAAUGAUGGCAACUAAGGGCGAGGGUUGCGCUCGUUGCGGGACUUAACCCAACAUGUCACCACACGAGCUGACGACAGCCAUGCAGCACCUGUCACUCUGUCGUAUUGCUACGAAAACCGUAUCUCUACGGCGGUCAGAGGAUGUCAAGCCCAGGUAAGGUUCUUCGCGUUGCUUCGAAUUAAACCACAUGAUCCACCGCUUGUGCGGGCCCCUGUCAAUUCCUUUGAGUUUUAGUCUUGCGACCGUACUUCCCAGGCGGGGUACUUAUUGCGUUAGCUCCGGCACGGCGGGGGUCAAGACCCACCAUGCCUAGUACCCAUCGUUUACGGCGUGGACUAC
rnacentral:misc_RNA from 1 species